GGCUCAGGAUGAACGCUGGCGGUAUGCUUAACACAUGCAAGUCGAACGGAAUGCUUAGGCAUUUAGUGGCGGACGGGUGAGUAACGCGUGAGAAUUUGGCUUCAGGUCGGGGACAACAGUUGGAAACGACUGCUAAUACCGGAUAUGCCGGAAGGUGAAAGAUUUAUUGCCUGAAGAUAAGCUCGCGUCUGAUCAGCUAGUUGGUGGGUAAGAGCCUACCAAGGCGACGAUCAGUAGCUGGUCUGAGAGGAUGAUCAGCCACACUGGGACUGAGACACGGCCCAGACUCCUACGGGAGGCAGCAGUGGGGAAUUUUCCGCAAUGGGCGAAAGCCUGACGGAGCAAUACCGCGUGAGGGAGGAAGGCUCUUGGGUCGUAAACCUCUUUUCUCAGGGAAGAAAAAAAUGACGGUACCUGAGGAAUAAGCAUCGGCUAACUCCGUGCCAGCAGCCGCGGUAAUACGGAGGAUGCAAGCGUUAUCCGGAAUGAUUGGGCGUAAAGGGUCUGUAGGUGGUGCUGUAAGUCUGCUGUUAAAGAGUCACGCUCAACGUGAUAAAAGCGGUGGAAACUACAGGACUAGAGUGCGGUCGGGGCAGAAGGAAUUCCUGGUGUAGCGGUGAAAUGCGUAGAUAUCAGGAAGAACACCGGUGGCGAAAGCGUUCUGCUAGUCCGCAACUGACACUGAGGGACGAAAGCUAGGGGAGCGAAUGGGAUUAGAUACCCCAGUAGUCCUAGCCGUAAACGAUGGAUACUAGGCGUGGCUUGUAUCGACCCGAGCCGUGCCGGAGCUAACGCGUUAAGUAUCCCGCCUGGGGAGUACGCACGCAAGUGUGAAACUC
rnacentral:rRNA from 1 species